ACACUGUGGGGCUGCGUCCGGGGCACGGGCCAUGCCUGAACCUUCUUCCACCGCCGCGCCCCGGGCCCGCGCCCCGCCGGCCGCCCGCACUGGGUCCCGCGUCGCCCCCGCCACCACACCGAGCCGCCCAGUACCUCCUCCUCCUGAAGGUUGGCCUCGCUCGGGGUGUUCUCCUUCUCGGCUUUGCCGCCGUUGUUCAUCUUCCCGGUCCUUCCUCGCCGGGCCGGGCAGGGCUGGGGCGCGGGGCUGGGCGAGGGCGCGCUAGCCCACUGGAGCCUUCCCCGGGCGCCGGGGCUCCCUCGGGCGGGCGCCGCGGGCUGUGGGGCUGGAGCUGGAGCCGGGGCAGUGGCUGUCGGGCUCGGGUUGGGCUGGGGCUCCCGCGGCGAGUCUGCGACGGCGGCGGCGGGCGACUCAGGAAGUGCAAGGGAGAGACGGGGCAGGGCGCGGGCCGGGAGCGGGGCACCGAGACAAUCGGGCCCCGGGAGGGCGACCUGGAGAGGGAGGGCGGGAGCCAGGGGAGGAAGGAAGAAGGAAGGAAGGAAGGAAGCAAAGGAUGGGGCGAGGACGCGCGUCCCAGGAGCAGAGCUGGGGGUCCGUACGGAGGAACUUCAGAGGCUGGAAGCACGCUUGAAAAAGAAAGGGGGCCUGGGCUUUGCACCAGCUUCAGGAUUGCGUACUUGUUUCCUCAUCCGUGAAAUGGGAGCAGCUGAAUGUGUCUCCUCGAGUUUUCGAGGGGAACAAACAUGUAUCCUGGAUGAAAAUAAACCAACUCUUGAAACUGCAACCCAAGACAUUCAGAAGAGAUAAGGCUACAGUGAAUGUGGAAACUUUGCACGUGUUUGGAUGUAUUGAUUGCCUUAACUGGCAGCUCUUUGCACUGCCAGCUUCCCUCAAUUACAUGAGGAACCACGAGGGGGCAAUGUCUUCCCGAGCAAUAAUAGCUGAGUGGUGGUCUUAGGACCCCGUGGUGGCCCAUGAUGCUAGCACUGUGUCUUUGGCCAUUCUUGCCUGUCAUGGAGCAUACUCCACAGAAGGGCAUGGUCUUCUUGGAUCCCGGCAUGGGCCCAACAAAAAUGACAAUGUAGUCAAUAGUUCCACUCAGACCUCACUUAGGAGCAGGUGAACUAUGUUGUGUGAUAUCAGGAUGCCCGGAGAACCUCUCCUAUCCCCACCCAGGGAAGCAUGGCUUAAUUCCAAAUAAAGAAUCUGAUUUCUUUGUCUUUAAGCCAAGCCAGGACUUUGUCCAUUGUUAAAAGUCAAAAAUCUCUGGGAUAAGAAACAAAAAUAAGUUCCAGUACAGGCAUGAGCCACCGGCCUGGCAGUGGUCUUUAGUCAUGAUUUUGCAGGGGGGACCCUAGAUAGAGACCUUGUGCAGAAUGGAACAACUGAUAAGGUUUCAAACAGUAAAAGAUAAAAUCCCACCAUUGAGGCCGGGCACAGUGCCUCAUGCCUGUAAUCCUAGCACUUUGGGAGGCCAAGGCGGGCAGAUCACCUGAGGUCAGGAGUUUGAGACCAGCCUGGCAUGGUGAAACCCCAUUUUUGAAAAUACAAAAAUUAGCCAGGCGUGGUGGUGGGUGCCUGUAGUCCCAGCUACUCGGGAGGCUGAGGCAGGAGAAUCGCUUGAACCCGGGAGGCAGAGAUUGCUGUGAACCAGAUCACACCACUGUACUCCAGCCUGGGCGACAGGGAGACUCCAUCUCAAAAAAAAAAAAAAAUCACACCAUUGAAUUUGACAUAUCAGACAAUAAAAUCGACACUGAUGCAGGGAUGGCUAUACUAUAUAGUCAGUGGUGAGAGUGACAUUCAGGGUGUUUUCAGAAAAACAUAUGGGGUUGGGAUAAUAUGUCAAGAAAAGGGAGAUUUCCUGCUUUUUAUCCUUUUCAUGAAGAGUAGUUUAGAGUUAUUUGAAAGAGCAAUAAUGUAUUACCAAUAAAACUCAAGGAAAAUCUGUAAACAGACUUUUGCUAUUUAUAAAACUUUGUGAUUGAAGGCAAAGAGUUUGAAUUUGUGUGGGGGAGGAAAAUGUACCUUCAAUCAGGGUAUAAAUGAUAAUUACAGCUUGUUUAUGACUUUAAAGAAAGAUUCCAAAGUAAUAUCUCCUCAGUAGCAAUAGUUCUCAGGCAUCCUGAGAAUUAUAAGACCACAAAGGGAUUUUUUUUUUGAGACGGAAUUUCGCUGUAACCAAGGGAUUUUAAAUCCUGUAAUAGUUGUGCUGAAGACCAGAAAAGUCCGCUUUCUCCCCAGCCUAACACUCUACCUACUGUAUUGCCUGACCUUCGAGGUUACCUUGAAAGGGUAAUAUUGUAUACACCUGUAGUUUUUUACUACUCACUGCUGUUUCUCUGGCAGUGUUCAUUUCGAGGCUUGCCUUAAGAAAUCCAAACCUAUAAUUAUGUCUUAAAUGUUUGCCUUUGGGAACUGCAGACAUUAAAGGUCUAUUUUGAGGCGAUUUGCAUGGCAUGGGCUUUGUACCUAUGUUAGCUUUGCAGCAGAAAGCUGCAGUAUCUACCAUGUGUGUUGUGAUUGUCUAUUAACCCUUCGGCUGAGCCAAAGAAGUUAUUGAGGCCAGAGGGGCUGUAUUUUAUUGGUUUUUGUCAUCCUUGACACCUCUCUCUCCCUUACCUCGUGCCUGCUCACCUCCAGCUCCUCUCCAUCUUCCCCUGAUUUUUUUAUUAAUUUAUCAUUGUGGCAAAAGACACAUAACAUAAAAUUUACCUUCUUAACCACUUUGGUUUUUUGGGGUUUUUUUUGAGAUGGAGUGUUGCUCUGUUGCCCAGGCUGGAGUGCAAUGGUGCCAUCUUGGCUCACCACAACCUCCACCUCCCAGGUUCAAGAGAUUCUCCUGCUUCAGCCUCCUGAGUAGCUGGAACUACAGGCGUGUGCCACCAUGUCCAGCUAAUUUUUGUAUUUUUAGUAGAGAUGAGGUUUCACUAUGUUGACCAGGCUGGGUUUUCUUUUUUCUUUUUUUUUUUCUUUUUUUUUAGUGAUGGGCCUUCACUGUGUUGCCCAGGCUGGUCUCAGACUCCUGGGUUCAAGUGAUCCUCCCACCUCAGCCUCCCAAAGUGCUGAGAUUACAGGUAUGAGCCACUGCACCCAGCCUACUUGUUUGUUUUUCCAGAUUUCGUUCUGUUGCCCAGGCUGGAGUACAGUAGCAUGAUCAUAACUCACUGCAGCCUCGAACUCCUGGGCCCAAGCAAUCUUCCUGCCUCAACUUCCCGAGCAGCUGGGACUGCAGACUCUUGCCACCACACGCAGCUAAUUUUUAAAUUUUUUUCCCAGGCUGGUCUCAAACUCCUGCCUUCAAGCAAUCCUCCUGCCUCAGCCUCCCUAAGUGCUGAGAUUACAGACAUAAACCAUUUCACCUAAGCCUUCCAUUUGAACCAUUUUUAAGUGUAGUGUUAAGUGUAUUCACAUGGUUGUGCAACAGCCCCCUGACUUUCACCUCCUAAAGAAUUCUGAGGUUCACUGGCUUCCCUCUGAUCAUGAUCAGAGGCCCACAUGGAGGAGAAUCCAGGUGUUUGGCUUACAGCCCCAGCUGAGCUCUGCAGACAACCAGUAUCAAUUUGCCAGCCCUCUGAGUGAACUAUCUUGAGAGUGGUUGCUCCAGCCCUAGUUGAGCUGCCGCAGCUGAUACCAUCUGGAAGAGAGAUGAGCUUUCUGCAGCAAACCCUGCCCAAAUUGCAAAAUUGUUAGCAAAAAAAAAAAUGAAUGCUGUUGUUUUAAGUCACCACAUUUCAGUGUGGUUUGUAAUACAGCAAUAUAUAACUGAAACAUAAUUACAUACCUAGAAGCGGGAUAAUAGAAAUCAACAGGGUGAUUCCUACUGUAAUAGAAACCUAAAACACAUGGCAGGAGCUUUGGGAUCAGGUGGAGGAUGGAAGCUGGAAGAACCUUGAGGAGUCUGUUAUUGACAAAUACUAUUAAAGAACAGUGAGUGGGGCUGGCCGUGGUGGCUCACACCUAUAAUCCCAGCACUUUGGGAGGCAGAGGUGGGCCGAUCACCUGAGGUCAGGAAUUCGAGACCAGCCUGGUCAACACGGUGAAACCCUGUCUCUACUAAAAAUACCAAAAUUAGCCAGGCGUGGUGACGCGUGCCUGUAAUCCUAGCUACUGGGGAGGCUGAGGCAGGAGAAUUGCUUGAACCCAGGAGGCGGAAGUUGCAGUGAGCCAAGAUCGCACCACUGCCCUCCAGCUUGGGUGACAGAGAGAGACUCAGUCUCAAAAUAAAAUAAAAUAAAGAACAGUGAGGAUACUGUUAUUGCUGGCUGGAGAAAAGGGGGAUUGACUUAGGUAUUGGAAGAACAAUUAGCUAAACUACUCUGCAGUUAUGUGAAAGCUAGAGAAGGUACCUAGUGAACAUGUGGAUCUGGCUAUGGAGAUUUCUGGAUAGAAUGGUGAAAGGGUGGAAUGGUUCCUUUUGCAUGCCUGUGAUAUAGUACCAGAGAAGUGCAGUGAGCUAAAAAAGAAACUGUUCCAUUUUUCAUCAGAAUUUAGAAGAAGCAAUUAAAGAAGCCAGGACUUGCAGGAUUUGAAAUAAAACUACUUUUCAUUCCUAGUUCUCCAGAGGACAAAACUCUCAAAAUAAGAAAUGGCCUAGGGGCAAAAGUCAAAUCCCAGGUACUAUCAGGAAAACAUAGUCAUAAGUAAAGUUCAAGACAACAACAGGUGCAGCAGCUCACACCUGCAAUCCCAGUGCUUUGGGAAGCCAAGGUGGGAGGAUUACUUGAGGCCAAGAGUUUGGGAUCAACUUGGGCAACAUAGCAAGACUCCUCUGCAAAAAAAAAAAAAAAAAAAAAGAAAAAAGAAAAAACAACAAUUUUGAGACAGAAUCUCGUUCUGUCACCUGGUUGGGGUGUAGUGGCAUGAUCAUGGCUCACUAAAACCUCUGUCUCCUGGGUUCAAGCAAUUCUCAUGCCUCAGCCUCCCAGGUAGCUGGGAUUACAGGUACACACCACCAUGCUUGGCUAAUUUUUGUAUUUUUAGUAAAGAUGGGGUUUCACCAUGUUAGCCAGGCUGGUCUCAAACUCCUGGCCUUAAGUGAUCUGCUCACCUUAGCCUCCCAAAGUGCUGGGAUUACAGGUGUGAGCCACCAAACCCGGCCUCUGCAAAAAAUUUAAAAAUUAGCUGAACAUAGUGGCACAUGCCUAUAAUUCCAGCUAUUUUGGAGGCUGAGGCAGGAAGAUCACUUGAGCCCAGGAGUUUGAGGGUACAGUGAAUUAUGAUCAUGCCACUGCACUACAGCUUGGGCAACAGAGCAAGAACCUGGCUCUAAAAAAAAAAAAAAAUGCCCAGGUGUGGUGGCUCAGGCCUGUAAUCCCAGCACUUUGGGAGGCUGAGGCGGGCAGAUCUCGAGGUCAGAAGAUCGAGACCAUCCUGGCUAACAUGGUGAAACCCCGUCUUUACUUAAAAAAAUACAAAAAAAUUAGCCAGGUGUGGUGGUGGGCGCCUGUAGUCCCAGCUACUCAGGAGGCUGAGGCAGGAGAAUGACAUGAACCUGGGAGGCGGAACUUGCGGUGAGCCGAGAUGGUGCCACUGCACUCCAGACUGGGGGACAGAGAGAGACUCCGUCUCGGGGGAAAAAAAAGAAGAUAAGGAUGUAGCUAGAAGACACUGGGUAGGCAGCUUCUACAAUGGACCCCAGUGAUCCUUCCCUCCCGGUAUUCAAACCCUCUGUAAUCCCUUCCUUCAUGUGGGCUGGACUUUGCAACUUGCUCUUAAGGAAUACAGUGUGGCAAAAGUGAUGGAUAGCACCUCCAAGACUAGAUUUAAAAAGAGACGAUGGCUCAUGUCUUACAUGCCCUCUCUUGCUCUCUCACUUGCUGCCUUUGACCUGCCUUAUGGAGACGCUCAUGUGGCAAGGAACGAAGGCCUCCAGCCAAGAGCCACCAAGGAACUGGUUUUCAGUCCAACAACCAGCAAGGAGCUGAAUCCUGCCAACUACUGCAUGAGUAGACCUGGAAAUAGAUCUUCCCUAAGUGGACCCUUCACGUGAAACCUAUUAUGGACUGAAUGCUAGUGUCCUUCUGAAAUUCACAUAAAAUCCUAACCUCCAUUGUGAUAGUAUUAGGUAAGGCAUUUGGGAGGUAAUUAGGUUUAGAUGAGGUCACAAGUGUGGGGCCCCCAUAAUGGGGUUGGUGCCCUUAUAAGAGGAGAAAGAGGCUGGGUGUGGUGGCUGAUGCCUGGAAUCCCAACACUUCGGGAGGCCAAGGCAGGAGGAUUGCUUGAAGCCAAGAGUUUGAGACCAGCCUGGACAACACAGUGAGACCCCCAUUUCUAUGAAUAAAUAAAUAAAUUAGCCAGGCACGUGGCUCACUCCUGUCAUCCCAACACUUUGGGAGGCCAAGGCAGGAGAUUUCCUUGAGACCAGGAGUUCAAGAUCAGCCUGGGCAACGUAGUGGGACCCUGUCUCUACAGAAAAAUUAGCCAGGCAUAUUGGUGUGAGUCUGUAGUCCCAACUACUACUCCCAAAGCUGAGGAAUAAGGAUUGUUUUAGCCUAGGAGUUCAAGGUUACAGUGAACUAUAAUUGUACCACUGUACUCCAGCCUGGGAGACAGCAAAACCCGGUUUGUGUGUGUGUGUGUGUGUGUGUGUGUGUGUGUGUGUGUGUGUGUGUGUGUCGAGAACCAAAGCUCCUUCUCUCCCUGCCAUGUGAGGACACAGUGAGAAGGUGGCUGACUGCAAGCCAGGAAGAGGGUCCUCAUGAGGAAAUGAAUUGACUGGCACCUUGAUCUUGUGGCACCUUGAUCUUGGACUUCCCAGCCUCUAUAACUGUGAGAAAUAAAUGUCUGUUGUUUUAGCCACCCAGUCUGUGGUAUUUUGUUAUGACAAGCUCAGCUGACUAAGUAAUUAAUACCAAGAAGCGGUUUGCUGCUGUAACAAAUAACUAAAAGUGUGGAAGCAGCUUUGGAACUGGGUAGUGGGUAGAGGCUGAAAGAGUUUUGUUUUUAGAGAUAGGGUCUGCCAGGUGCGGGGGCUCACGCCUGUAAUCCCAGCAUUUUGGGGGGCCGAGGCGGGUGAAUCACGAGGUCAGGAGUUCGAGACCAGCCUGGCCAACAUGGUGAAACCCUGUCUCUACUAAAAAUACCAAAAAAUUAGCUGGGCAUAGUGGUAGGCACCUGUAAUCCCAGUUACUUGGGAGGCU
rnacentral:lncRNA from 1 species